rnacentral:rRNA from 1 species
CAGCCGCCACGGUAAUACGAAGGGUGCAAGCGUUAAUCGGAAUUACUGGGCGUAAAGCGUGCGUAGGCGGUUUGUUAAGUCUGCUGUGAAAUCCCCGGGCUCAACCUGGGAAUGGCAGUGGAUACUGGCAAGCUAGAGUGUGUCAGAGGAUGGUGGAAUUCCCGGUGUAGCGGUGAAAUGCGUAGAGAUCGGGAGGAACAUCAGUGGCGAAGGCGGCCAUCUGGGACAACACUGACGCUGAGGCACGAAAGCGUGGGGAGCAAACAGGAUUAGAUACCCGCGUAGUCCCUGUCUCUUAUAC